rnacentral:misc_RNA from 1 species
UUAAGUUCAGCGGGUAGUCCUACCUGAUUUGAGGUCAAAUUGUCAAGUAUGUUGUCCUCGCGGACGGUUAGAAGCGAGUCCGAACCAAGUCAACGACGUAGAUAAUUAUCACACCGAUAGACGGAGGUCCAGAAUGAAUCUCGCUAAUGCAUUUCAGGGGAGCAGACCGCGCUGAGGCGACCUGCACAGACCCCCACAUC